AAUAUUGGACAAUGGGCGCAAGCCUGAUCUAGCCAGGCCGCGUGAGUGAUUAAGGCCCUAGGGUUGUAAAGCUCUUUUGUCCGGGACGAUAAUGAAGGUACCGGAAGAAUAAGCCCCGGCCAACUUCGCGCCAGCAGCCGCGGCCAUACGAAGGGGGUUAGCGUUGCUCGGAAUCACUGGGCGUAAAGGGCGCGUAGGCGGACGUUUAAGUCAGGGGUGAAAUCCCGGGGCUCAAACUCGGAAUUGCCUUUGAUACUGGAUGUCUCGAGACCGGGAGAGGUAAGUGGAAAUGCGAGUGUAGAGGUGAAAUUCGUAGAUAUUCGCAAGAACACCAGUGGCGAAGGCGGCUUACUGGUCCGGUUCUGACGCUGAGGCGCGAAAGCGUGGGGAACAAACAGG
rnacentral:rRNA from 1 species